CCUACGGGAGGCAGCAGUAGGGAAUCUUUCACAAUGGGCGAAAGCCUGAUGGAGCAACGCCGCGUGCAGGAUGAAGGCCUUCUGGUUGUAAACUGCUUUUAUAAGCGAGAAAUAUGAUGGUAACUUAUGAAUAAGGAUCGGCUAACUACGUGCCAGCAGCCGCGGUCAUACGUAGGAUCCGAGCAUUAUCCGGAGUGACUGGGUGUAAAGAGUUGCGUAGGUGGCAUAAUAAGUAGCUAGUGAAAUCUGGUGGCUCAACCAUUCAGACUAUUAGCUAAACUGUUAAGCUCGAGACCGUUAGGGGUAACUGGAAUUUCUAGUGUAGGAGUGAAAUCCGUAGAUAUUAGAAGGAACACCAAUAGCGUAGGCAGGUUACUGGGACGGUUCCGACACUAAGGCACGAAAGCGUAGGGAGCAAACGGGAUUAGAUACCCCAGUAGUC
rnacentral:rRNA from 1 species